CUGGUUAUUGAUUGACAUUUGGCCUGCGAUCGAUUAAAAUAUUUUCGUGAAUCAAGUGCAUCAAUCCAACGCAGCAUGACAACAUAGCUGAGAUAAGUAAGAAUUAAAUUGGGAUUCCGAUCGCUACCCUAUUUUAAAAGUACGAACAGUAAUUGCGGGACAAGGCAACGCAAGUAGUAAUUUAAAUUUGCUUCCAAACGUAAUGUUAAAUAUGUCCGCAAUUUGGAUUGGAAACCUCGAUGACGCCGGUGAAAUUUGACACAACCAAUUGUUAUGAACACCUGACUGAAUUUGAGUGUUGUACUGGCGCAUGCACCAUUCGUGUUUAGAAGGACGAGAAGUAAAGACGAGACGUGAGCUAUAAUAUAGAGGAGAGGAAACUAAUUACUAUCCCUUUUAUAUUUGUAUAUAUGCCUAUUAUUUGUACAUGUUAAAAUUAUGUUAAUACUACUGGAUUAAACCUAGGUAUUUAACUAAAAGCAAUUUUC